rnacentral:lncRNA from 1 species
GAAGAGAAAGUGAUGAAUGGCGUCAGGGAAGAGAAGCCAGGCCAGUGUGUUGGACUCACCUGUUCAGUUUAGCGACAGUACUAUUUUGUGAACCACAUUUUAGGCUCAUUAUAUUAGAGGAGCUAGUGAGCCAUUUUUUUCACUGUUGGACUGCAUAGUCUCAUUUAAGUUAGUCCUCUCUCUUACCAAACAUGGGUUUUAAGUGCUAUUUUGUUCAGUCCAGGUUAGUGAGGCCUACCAAACAUGCCCUUUGUGUCUGGUACAGUAAGUUGUUGUGGGGCUCUUUGUUGGCUUGUCCAGAUUGACCGUUGUCUAUUGCUUUCUCAGUUUCGAUUGUUGUUGUGGUCUAUUGUUUCCCUCUUUUCUGUUAUCUCUUCUUCCUUGUUAAGGGAGGAGGUUGGGGUGGGGUGGGCGGUGGUUCUGUCUUUUGGAUAUUCUUAUUUUCUCAAUUUUAUUUUAAAGAUAAAAACAUAUUUAAAGUCCAGCUGUAAAAAAAAAAAAAAGCUUUAAUUAUUUAAAAAUAAUAAUACGUGGCAUAUUUUGAAUGGAAGUAUCACCAGAUGACAUGGUGAUACGGUACAGUACCAUUGUAUAAUUUCUCCUGAAAUAGGUCAAAAUUCCCCACCCAUUAAUAAAAAUACAAG